UACGUAGGUGGCAAGCGUUGUCCGGAAUUAUUGGGCGUAAAGCGCGCGCAGGUGGUUUCUUAAGUCUGAUGUGAAAGCCCACGGCUCAACCGUGGAGGGUCAUUGGAAACUGAGGAACUUGAGUGCAGAAGAGGAAAGUGGAAUUCCAAGUGUAGCGGUGAAAUGCGUAGAGAUUUGGAGGAACACCAGUAGCGAAGGCGACUUUCUGGUCUGUAACUGACACUGAGGCGCGAAAGCGUGGGGAGCGAACAGG
rnacentral:rRNA from 1 species